AUUCGAACCCUCGAUAGUUAUUUUUUAUGAACUAUACCGGUUUUCAAGACCGGAGCCAUCAACCACUCGGC
rnacentral:tRNA from 1 species